UCCUCCAGCUGGUAUAAUAAUAACUCCACUACCAUAGACGUCCCCUCCUCCAGCUGGUAUAAUAAUAACUCCACUACCAUAGACGUCCCCUCCUCCAGCUGGUAUAAUAAUAACUCCACUACCAUAGACGUCCCCUCCUCCAGCUCCCACAGAGUAGGAGUGUAUCUGGACUGGCCAGCCGGCACUCUGUCCUUCUAUAGAGCCUCCUCUGACACACUGACCCACCUGAUCACAUUCACCUCCACAUUCACUGAGCCCCUCUAUCCAGGAUUUGGGAUUUAUAAUGUUGGCGACUCAGUGUCCCUGAAAUAAUAACUGGACACACACACACACACACACACUGGACACACACACACACUGGACACACACAUAAAUACACACUGGACACACACACUCAACACACACACACUGGACACACACAUACACACUGGACACACACACACUGAACACACACACACUGGACACACACAUACACACACACACUCACUGGACACACAUACACACACACACUCACUGGACACACAUACACACACACACUCACUGGACACACACACACACACACACUGAAACACACACACACUGGCCACCCACUUAAACUGGACAAACACAAACACUGGAAUGACAUACACACACUCACUCAAACGGACAUACAAACGCACUGGAAACACACUGGACACACACACACACUGGACACACACAAACACACUGGACACACACACACACACACACACACACUGGACCCACUGGAUAAACACACACACACUGGAUAAACACACACACACUGGAUAAACACACACACACUGGACACACACACUCACUGGACACACACGCUUGACACACACACACGCUUGACACACACACUGGAUACACACACACAAACACACUGGAUACACACACACACACACACACACACACACACACACACACACUGGAUACACACACACACACACACACACUGGAUACACACACACACACACACACACUGGAUACACACACACACACACACACACACAAACACUGGAUACACACACACACAAACACACUGGAUACACACACACACACACACACACACACACACACACCCUGGAUACACACACACACACACACACACUGGAUACACACACACACACACACAAACACACUGGAUACACACACACACACACACACACACACACAAACACACUGAACACACACACACACACACUGGAUACACACACACACACACACUGGAUACACACACACACACACACAAACACACUGGAUACACACACACACACACACACACACACAACACACUGGAUACACACACACACACAAACACACUGAACACACACACACUGACACACAUAAACACUGAAACACACAAUUGACAAACACACACUGGACACUCACACGUGUUAAAUCAGUUUCUGGACCACAGGUUCUAGAACAGCUUCUAUCCCAGUUCUAUCUGCCUGUUAAAUCAGUUUCUGGACCACAGGUUCUAGAACAGCUUCUAUCCCAGUUCUAUCUGCCUGUUAAAUCAGUUUCUGGACCACAGGUUCUAGAACAGCUUCUAUCCCAGUUCUACCUGCCUGUUAAAUCAGUUUCUGGACCACAGGUUCUAGAACAGCUUCUAUCCCAGUUCUAUCUGCCUGUUAAAUCAUCAACCUAAACUGUUGUCAUCAGACUAUUACAACAUGACUGAACUUUUGGUUCCUUUUCUGAUCUUUUACCACUUUGCAUUUUUUAUGAUAUAUUUUACUGUUUGUGUUUGUACCACAGGAGGUUGGUGGGACCUUAUUUAGGGA
rnacentral:lncRNA from 1 species